GUCAAAGUGCAGCUGAGGCCUCCCAGUUGUGUGUCACCUCUGCAAGAGCCAAGCAGCCUUCCUGCCUGCAGAUAGCAUCACUUCUAGGAUGGGCCAAACUCCAGAUCCUAUCAAUGAAAGGAUAAAGAAGAGAGAAGAAACCCUUCUGCCAGGCCAGACAUUUGCUGGUCACUAGCACAUUCCACAUCACAGCAAGACCAUAUUUAUUUUUGUGUGCUAAAUGCUGUAGCAAGGGACAGUUCAUAGUGAAGAUGACAAGAUCGAAUCAGACUGAGCUGAGUGAUCUCAGCAUCAAAUUUUGAGCGGUCUAUGUUCAAGAAGAAAAGCUGCCUAUUAAAGAAAUGGGAAAUAAAGUGGUCCUGAUAGUCA
rnacentral:lncRNA from 1 species